UAGCUAAUUAAUGCAAGAAAGAUGGCCCCGCUGUCCACUAAUGAAAAAAAAUAUAUCCUCUUUUUGGUUCAUUAAAUCGUGAGUAUGUUUUACAAAUUAGCAAAUGAAGUGUAGAGGAAAUUUUGGGGCAGCAGCUAAUUUAUAUAGCUACAUCGUGAUUAAGAAUAAUAGGGGCAGAAACAUACUAGUACAUUGAGUGUUUGGAAGUUUAAGCAAACAACGUUAUUCGAUUCUUUUACGGAUUUUGUACAUCGCUUCAAUCUCGUUGUUCCGCUUUGUGGUGCUGUUGAAUCCGGGCUUUCUUUGAUGUGAAGUAAGGUGGAAGAAGAUUAUUUCUUGGAAUAUAAGAUUGGUGAAACCCGAGACCUAAGUUAUGGUUAACUUGAGAAGCGACAAGCCCCAGAUUGUUUGGCAGGUUAAGGAUAUAGCUAGAAUGCUUGGACGUCAGCUGGGAUUGCCAAGUUCCACCUCAUUCUGGAGCUGUGCUGAGUCAUGUAUAUAUAUGCAUAAUUAUGGGUAUGUCAGGGCCCUGUCCUGACUCAUAACGUUCAGAUCACUUUUUAGAGACUUCUGCCGACAGUGUCUUGUGGUAUGUUUGUCGAGAUGUCGACAAAGUGAUGUCAGUUGAGUCAUUUGUGGUUUUUAAACAAGUAUGUAUUUUAGAUGAUUUCAAUUGGUUUAAAGUACUUAUUUUAUUGAAAG